UUUAAUGAGAGUUUGAUCCUGGCUCAGGACGAACGCUGGCGGCGUGCCUAAUACAUGCAAGUCGAACGCUUCUUUUUCACCGGGUGCUUGCACCCACCGAGAAAGAGGAGUGGCGGACGGGUGAGUAACACGUGGGCAACCUGCCCAUCAGAGGGGGAUAACACUUGGAAACAGGUGCUAAUACCGCAUAAUUCUUUUUGUCGCCUGACAGAAAGAUAAAAGACGCUUUCGGGUGUCACUGAUGGAUGGGCCCGCGCUGCAUUAGCUAGUUGGUGGGGUAACGGCUCACCAAGGCCAUGAUGCAUAGCCGACCUGAGAGGGUGAUCGGCCACACUGGGACUGAGACACGGCCCAGACUCCUACGGGAGGCAGCAGUAGGGAAUCUUCGGCAAUGGACGAAAGUCUGACCGAGCAACGCCGCGUGAGUGAAGAAGGUUUUCGGAUCGUAAAACUCUGUUGUUAGAGAAGAACAAGUGAGAGAGUAACUGUUCUCACCUUGACGGUAUCUAACCAGAAAGCCACGGCUAACUACGUGCCAGCAGCCGCGGUAAUACGUAGGUGGCAAGCGUUGUCCGGAUUUAUUGGGCGUAAAGCGAGCGCAGGCGGUUCCUUAAGUCUGAUGUGAAAGCCCCCGGCUCAACCGGGGAAGGUCAUUGGAAACUGGGGAACUUGAGUGCAGAAGAGGAGAGUGGAAUUCCAUGUGUAGCGGUGAAAUGCGUAGAUAUAUGGAGGAACACCAGUGGCGAAGGCGACUCUCUGGUCUGUAACUGACGCUGAGGCUCGAAAGCGUGGGGAGUACGGCCGCAAGGCUGAAACUCAAAGGAAUUGACGGGGGCCCGCACAAGCGGUGGAGCAUGUGGUUUAAUUCGAAGCAACGCGAAGAACCUUACCAGGUCUUGACAUCCUUUGACCACUCUAGAGAUAGAGCUUUCCCUUCGGGGACAAAGUGACAGGUGGUGCAUGGUUGUCGUCAGCUCGUGUCGUGAGAUGUUGGGUUAAGUCCCGCAACGAGCGCAACCCUUAUUGUUAGUUGCCAUCAUUCAGUUGGGCACUCUAGCGAGACUGCCGGUGACAAACCGGAGGAAGGUGGGGAUGACGUCAAAUCAUCAUGCCCCUUAUGACCUGGGCUACACACGUGCUACAAUGGACAGUACAAUGAGUUGCGAGACCGCGAGGUUUAGCUAAUCUCUUAAAGCUGUUCUCAGUUCGGAUUGCAGGCUGCAACUCGCCUGCAUGAAGCCGGAAUCGCUAGUAAUCGCGGAUCAGAACGCCGCGGUGAAUACGUUCCCGGGCCUUGUACACACCGCCCGUCACACCACGAGAGUUUGUAACACCCAAAGUCGGUGAGGUAACCUUCGGGAGCCAGCCGCCUAAGGUGGGAUGGAUGAUUGGGGUGAAGUCGUAACAAGGUAGCCGUAUCGGAAGGUGCGGCUGGAUCACCUCCUUU
rnacentral:rRNA from 1 species